rnacentral:lncRNA from 1 species
AUUGUAGCUUCCCAGUAUAAAAAUUCUUUAAUUUUCAGCCUUUUUUUCUUCAUUUUCUCAACUUCUGCUCACUAACCUGUUCAAAAUCAAAUUCAAAUUAAAAUUUAAAUAUUUAUAUCAAAAUUACAGUAAAAUCAAGAAAUUAAAUAAGGAAAAAAUGUGAAUUUUACAACUCAUCAGAUUCCCCCACACUUGCACCUUUGCUUGUCCUCAAGCACAGAAAUUAAAAUGAAACAAUGAAAUACAGCCCUGUCCUCAACCAAUCUGAAAUUUAAUUUAUCCAAAACAAAGAACCAAAUUGUCAUGCAAUAGGAUGAUAGCAGAAAUAGCUUAAUUUCACCAAAGUUCACUUCAACAAGUUUCAUAUUUAAAAUAUGUUUCUCAAGUCAUAAAGUUGGUCCUCAAUUCAAUUUCAAACACAUAAAAUAUUAGAAUGCCAUAUAAUAUUAAACUGCCCUUUUGAAAGAAUAGAAUCUUAGAACUCUUGACUAGGCCAAUAAAAUUUAAAGAUUUGGGGGUUUAUUAUUUAUUAUUUACACUUCCUACUAUAUCUUACCUGAAACCGAUAAAGUGAACGUGAAACAAAUGGUUACUGAGCCACUUGCCCUAGGUUAUUCAGCUCAGGUGGCUACUAGCUCCACUCAUAAUUACCCAAUAAAAAGGUAUGGACGAGUUUUUUAAACGGCCCAAAAGGGGUGAUACUCUCCCAAACACCGAUUUCUCCAUACAGAAUUACCUUAAGGGGUCACCAAGUACCGCACUACUUGGGCCAUCGGGUUGGUAACCAAUUGAUCAAGCAAC